rnacentral:rRNA from 1 species
GACGAACGCUGGCGGCGUGCCUAACACAUGCAAGUCGAACGAGAAUUUCGUAACGGAAGUCUUCGGACAGAAGUUAUGAAAGGACAGUGGCGGACGGGCGAGUAACGCGUGAGUAACCUGCCCAUAAGAGCGGGAUAGCCCAUGGAAACGUGGAGUAAUACCGCAUGAGGUAUAGUAUUCGCAUGGAUACAGUAUUAAAGAUUUAUCGCUUAUGGAUGGACUCGCGUCAGAUUAGCUGGUUGGAGAGGUAACGGCUCACCAAGGCGACGAUCUGUAGCCGAACUGAGAGGUUGAACGGCCGCAUUGGGACUGAGACACGGCCCAG